GACCCGGGGGUCCGGACCCUGCACGCAUGAGUGGGGGAGGUGGAGGCUUUCCCCUCAUCUCCCCGGAGAGAAACUGACACUGCCAGGCUGGAACCUUCCAUUCCGGCCCAGCCUCUUCCUCCCUCGCUGUGCCGAGGAGGGAUCUAGAAGGGACUUUCCAGAGAGGGUUAGCGUGCAGGGUGUGGAAAUGGAAUAAAAGCAUAUGCAAAUAGGCCUUAGCUGCCUUCCUCUACCCCAGCAAAUAAGAGUCUUUCUCCAGAAAGAUGCUCUUUCUCCAAGACGCUUGACCGCUCUUCCUUCCCUGGAUGGCACCAGCAGGGCCUAUUGGAGUGGUAAACCCUGGGCCGGAAGGCAUGCCAAAGGGGGGGCAGGAUGGACAGGAGACAGCAGCACAACGAGGAGGGGGAGAACGGCGGCUGAAUUGGAAAUGAUAAAAUAAAAUGAAAUUUUAGGAACUAGCUGGCUGGGACAGGCCUGGACUGCAAGGAGGGGUCUUUGCACCAUCUCUGAAAAGCCGAUGUGUAUCCUCAGCUUUGAGAACUGAAUUCCAUGGGUUGUGUCAGUGUCAGACCUGUGAAAUUCAGUUCUUCAGCUGGGAUAUCUCUGUCAUCUUGGGCUUGAGGACACUGGAGAGAGUAGAUCCUGAAGAACUUUUUCAGUCUGCUGAAGAGCUUGGAAGACUGGAGACAGAAGGCAGAGUCUCAGGCUCUGAAGGUAUAAGGAGUGUGGGUUCCUGUGAGAAACACUCAUUUGAUUGUGAAAAGACUUGAAUUCUUUGCUAAGCAGGAUUCCAAGUAGCUAAAUGAAUGAUCUCAGCAAGUCUCUUGCUGCUGCUGCUGCUGCUGCUGCUGCUGCUGCUGCUGCUGCUACUGCUACUCAUUUACAUUUAUUGAUUACUUACGAUGAUUCAGGUACUGUUGUAUGUGCUUUACAUGCUGCUAUAGGAGACUCUUGGGAGAAAUCACUUUAAUGAAGCUUGAGACACAUGGCAUUGCCAUGCAAUGAUUUUCCCCCUUCUUCACGGGAUCAGAGGGAACUAAUAGAAUGUGACAAUGAUUCUUUAGCAUGGACUGCUGAGGCUUCUGGUUCCUUUUUAAGGUCUGCGGUGAAAGAAGAUGAGAAACACGGGUAUGCCCUUUUUUUGGUACCCCUCUUCCUUUAUUUGAAUCUCUACUUCCUUCUAUAAAUAUAUUAGGGCUACAUUGUCCCUUUGUAUUUCAAACAAGGCAAAAAGAGGUUGUAAUUAGACUUUACUGCAAUCCUCAGUUUCUCCAGGGAACAGGAAUGCAAAGGUUUUGAAGGCCUCUCUAUUUGCUGACAUGGUCAGCUGGGUACCAUGGGCCAAGUUCUUCUGUUGCCCUCCUCCAUCACCAAGUAAGCUAGGUCCAUUCUGAGGCUCAGUUUUGCUGUGAUGAUGACCACUUUUAGGCAGAAGGUUAGAGGCCUCAUGAGUGCUAUAUGGACUUUAUUAGGCUUUAGAUUUGAUGGGGAAUAAGGGAUGUGAUUUGUCUUUUGGGAACUCAUCUUUGAUUCAUCAUUGUCUCUUGGUAUCUUGGAAUUUCCAUGUCAUUAUAGUCUACAGAAUGAAAGAGUAACCUGUCCCAGAGGAGAGGCAGGUGAAAGACUCCACAGCAUGCUCAUUCUCAUUCUGUCUUCUCAGUGACACCGAGGUUUACUGAGUGCCCACUAUGUGCCAAGCACUGUGCUCAGGGCUUUCUUUGUAUGCAUGAUCUCAGUGAAUCUCACCAAGCCUGAUCUGGAAAACGGGGACAAAUUAACAACAGGAUGGCAAAUUAAUAAACACGUAACCAUGUUCUACAGAUGCAAAGGGGUGCUUGGUUAUUAUGAAGGCCCCCUGGCAAAUGUGUGGGACAUGGGUGUGUUCUCUGGGUUGUUCUGAUCAGAUCAAGGACCUUCCCCACCCUUCUCACACUCUGCCCACUUCCGCCCUUUGCUUAUCAGACCCUUAGCCAGUGACUCAUUCUAGAACCAGAACCUUGGUGAAAUCUCAACUGACACCAGAGAUCGGUGUCUUCAGUCCUAGACUGAUGGAGAAAAUCCAGAAUAUAUACUAGAAGCUCCAAAUGCUCUGGGUUUCAGCAGUCUGUGCUAUGGACACUGACUUUGGCUCAGAACUCCGAUUUAGUACAAAAGGCUCAUUUUUAUUUCAGGGGCACUCUUCCUAAAGCAAACCUAAUAAAUGAAAUAUGGAAUUCACAGAUACACACACAUGUUAAAAAAUUAACCUGGAGUAUCUGUGAGGAGUAGGAAGAAAUUCACUAUAUAAAAGAAUGCUUCAUUUCAUAGAGAAUUUGUGUUAAGAUUCCAUUAGAUAGUACAUUUUUCAAAGAUUUUUGAGGUUGUAUUUGCUUUAUCAAAACUUGGUUUAUGUAAGUGGAAAAAGCAUGUUGCAAAAUAACUUAGUGUCUAUGAUUCAGUUUAUGUAAAAUAAUAAGUGUACGUAGGAAUACGUGUGUUGAAAGAUGUACAUCAAUUUGUUAACAAUGGUUAUCUCUGAGGUGGUGGGAUUUGAGAUGUGUUUUUCUUUUUUUUUUUGUAUUUUUCUCUAUUGUUUGACUUAAUACAAAACAUGUUUAGUUACAACAAUAAAGUUAUUGAAGACAAUAUAACACCCAAUUGUGAUGAGUCCAGACAGUACUCAUGCUGUGCAUUUAUUAGACAGUAUGCUGUAGAGGUAAGUCAUGGAGGAGUGGAGAGAGAGAGAGCCCUGAUUUGUUGUCCCAUAAAGAAGAUAGGCACAGGGUAAUAUGUAGUGUGAUUCUUUUUUUUUUUUUGCACGAGGAGAAAUGUGUGUGUAUCCGUGUAAGUGUAUGGAUGUCCAGUGGGUAGUGGGUGUUAAGAUUGCAAGUGAUUUUUUUCCCCUCUCCCUUAAUUAUGCUUUUCUGCCUAAAUAAAAAAGGAACACUCUCCAAAAA